CCCACAAAGGGUGUUGGUCGAUUAAGA
rnacentral:ncRNA from 2 species